AGCAACGCCGCGUGAGUGAAGAAGGGUUUCGGCUCGUAAAGCUCUGUUGGUAGUGAAGAAAGAUAGAGGUAGUAACUGGCCUUUAUUUGACGGUAAUUACUUAGAAAGUCACGGCUAACUACGUGCCAGCAGCCGCGGUAAUACGUAGGUGGCAAGCGUUGUCCGGAUUUAUUGGGCGUAAAGCGAGUGCAGGCGGUUCAAUAAGUCUGAUGUGAAAGCCUUCGGCUCAACCGGAGAAUUGCAUCAGAAACUGUUGAACUGA
rnacentral:rRNA from 1 species